GGCGAGAAACUCUCAGCAAAAUUACGGCUAACCAGUUACCCCUCCUGUUUUUCCCUCGGAUAUAACUCUUAUGGCAGUUAUUUCCAAUGUGCUUCGCCAUAUUCUCAGUACACUGUGGGAAUGGAGCUGAUCCAUUCAACGUUAUGAAGAGUCUUUCUGAAGAGGGGCUACUCCAUCGGGGCACCAACAGCUUCUGUCAGGCUUGUUCAGAUCUUCAGAGUACCUCUGGAUGAGGGAGAAGGGGACCCCGUAACGGCCAUGCUAUAAAAGGUUUACUGCACCCAGGAGCAAUAUCAGGGCUAAUCUCCUUGCCCUUUGCAAGGGACACUGGCAGAGGUUUGGGAGGAACUGGUGGUCUCACAUGAUGUGUGCAUAAAGGAGC